AAAGAAAAAGUACAUGUUAGUUUAGUAACAGAUGCUAGUUUUUUUCUACAAAAUCAAAAUGAAUCAAUAAAAAAAUAAAUACAACUUUACGAGCUAUUUAAUUAAAUUUAUUGGACAAGAGAACUUAAUUUAGUUGAAUGGAACUGUCCAAAGAGAGUUUGUCUCUUCUUUUUUGAAUAAGAAAAAUUCAAUUUGAAUAUUGAAGUCUGGACUUAUCACAACAAAAGGUAUGCAAUAAGAAGUAAACAAUUACAUAAAUAGGAAGUCGCACUAGUUAUACAUCCCUGUCAUUUGAUUUUUCUUAUAUUGUAUUCAUACCUAAGGAAUAUAAGAGGGGUAUCGGAAGUUAUAAUUGUACCACAAAUUACAAGUGCAAGUAUUUCAGAUUAGAGACAAUCUUCCUGUUUAUAUGGCUACAUCAUGAUUAUCAUAUACGCUAAUGCCUCACUUUUUAUCAACACUAUACCAUUUUAGGUCUAUGGCAACACUAAAUUUGGACAACGCUUAUAAAGUGUUGCCUUAAAUACUUUUGGAAACGCUUUUAAAGUCUAGCCAAAGAUUUUGACUUUUUGCUACACUAAUAUUAGCAACACUUCUAAAGUGUACUCUUUAAUGGGAUAACCUACACUUUAUUAGGCCAAAAAAAAAUAUUAAAGAAGUAUAAAAAAGAAUAUAACAUUAAAGAAAUAAAAAAGGCAACAUUUUCCUAUAACUUCAGCUGAAGCUUCCAUUUUCAAUUGAAGAACACCAUUUGCAAGAACUCAAGAAGAGGAUUGAAGAACGGAAGAAAUCGAUUUUUACUACGAUUUUCGUCACAUUUCUGUCAAACUUCAACUGAAGAACACCAUUUUCAGCUGAAAGAUCGAAGAGCGCUGCGAUUUCUCUGAUGAUGAACUGAAGAAGACGAUUUUCCUCUCAGAGCUUCGUUGUUCAAGAUUAGAGAGCCGAAGAAGACGAUUUUCUUCAAAGAUUCAUGGGUAAAACUGUUGUUCCAUCAGAUUUCCUUUUGAAAAUUGAAAGAAAAUGUUUCACAAAUCAACUUGUCUCAUAUCUUAAAGCUUUAGGGUUGUUGGAAUAGAGUUGAUCAGAAGUUGAAGUUAAGUCGCCUUUAUCUGAAGAACUGAGUUGUAGCUAAGUCGUCUUUCUUCGAAGAACUGAAGUAUUGAAGCUGGUGAUACCUACGAUAUUUUCUCCCUAAUAUAGAUUUCGUCAAGUGUAAGUAGCUACUCUACAUGAAUUUCAAAAGGUUUUAAUAUCUGUUUUAAUGUUACUGUUUUUUUAGUCUUCCUGAGUUCAUAGUUGUGCUCGCCUUAAGCUUGGUUUGUUCCUUUGUUAACCAUAUUGAUUCUGUCUUGUAGCUGUUUGCUGGUAAAAUUUUUCUUUUUUCGA